rnacentral:rRNA from 1 species
UUAAGCGACUAAGCGUACACGGUGGAUGCCCUGGCAGUCAGAGGCGAUGAAGGACGUGCUAAUCUGCGAUAAGCGUCGGUAAGGUGAUAUGAACCGUUAUAACCGGCGAUUUCCGAAUGGGGAAACCCAGUGUGAUUCGUCACACUAUCAUUAACUGAAUCCAUAGGUUAAUGAGGCGAACCGGGGGAACUGAAACAUCUAAGUACCCCGAGGAAAAGAAAUCAACCGAGAUUCCCCCAGUAGCGGCGAGCGAACGGGGAGCAGCCCAGAGCCUGAAUCAGUGUGUGUGUUAGUGGAAGCGUCUGGAAAGGCGCGCGAUACAGGGUGACAGCCCCGUACACAAAAAUGCACAUAUUGUGAGCUCGAUGAGUAGGGCGGGACACGUGGUAUCCUGUCUGAAUAUGGGGGGACCAUCCUCCAAGGCUAAAUACUCCUGACUGACCGAUAGUGAACCAGUACCGUGAGGGAAAGGCGAAAAGAACCCCGGCGAGGGGAGUGAAAAAGAACCUGAAACCGUGUACGUACAAGCAGUGGGAGCACGCUUAGGCGUGUGACUGCGUACCUUUUGUAUAAUGGGUCAGCGACUUAUAUUCUGUAGCAAGGUUAACCGAAUAGGGGAGCCGAAGGGAAACCGAGUCUUAACUGGGCGUUAAGUUGCAGGGUAUAGACCCGAAACCCGGUGAUCUAGCCAUGGGCAGGUUGAAGGUUGGGUAACACUAACUGGAGGACCGAACCGACUAAUGUUGAAAAUUAGCGGAUGACUUGUGGCUGGGGGUGAAAGGCCAAUCAAACCGGGAGAUAGCUGGUUCUCCCCGAAAGCUAUUUAGGUAGCGCCUCGUGAAUUCAUCUCCGGGGGUAGAGCACUGUUUCGGCAAGGGGGUCAUCCCGACUUACCAACCCGAUGCAAACUGCGAAUACCGGAGAAUGUUAUCACGGGAGACACACGGCGGGUGCUAACGUCCGUCGUGAAGAGGGAAACAACCCGGACCGCCAGCUAAGGUCCCAAAGUCAUGGUUAAGUGGGAAACGAUGUGGGAAGGCCCAGACAGCCAGGAUGUUGGCUUAGAAGCAGCCAUCAUUUAAAGAAAGCGUAAUAGCUCACUGGUCGAGUCGGCCUGCGCGGAAGAUGUAACGGGGCUAAACCAUGCACCGAAGCUGCGGCAGCGACGCUUAUGCGUUGUUGGGUAGGGGAGCGUUCUGUAAGCCUGCGAAGGUGUGCUGUGAGGCAUGCUGGAGGUAUCAGAAGUGCGAAUGCUGACAUAAGUAACGAUAAAGCGGGUGAAAAGCCCGCUCGCCGGAAGACCAAGGGUUCCUGUCCAACGUUAAUCGGGGCAGGGUGAGUCGACCCCUAAGGCGAGGCCGAAAGGCGUAGUCGAUGGGAAACAGGUUAAUAUUCCUGUACUUGGUGUUACUGCGAAGGGGGGACGGAGAAGGCUAUGUUGGCCGGGCGACGGUUGUCCCGGUUUAAGCGUGUAGGCUGGUUUUCCAGGCAAAUCCGGAAAAUCAAGGCUGAGGCGUGAUGACGAGGCACUACGGUGCUGAAGCAACAAAUGCCCUGCUUCCAGGAAAAGCCUCUAAGCAUCAGGUAACAUCAAAUCGUACCCCAAACCGACACAGGUGGUCAGGUAGAGAAUACCAAGGCGCUUGAGAGAACUCGGGUGAAGGAACUAGGCAAAAUGGUGCCGUAACUUCGGGAGAAGGCACGCUGAUAUGUAGGUGAAGUCCCUUGCGGAUGGAGCUGAAAUCAGUCGAAGAUACCAGCUGGCUGCAACUGUUUAUUAAAAACACAGCACUGUGCAAACACGAAAGUGGACGUAUACGGUGUGACGCCUGCCCGGUGCCGGAAGGUUAAUUGAUGGGGUUAGCGCAAGCGAAGCUCUUGAUCGAAGCCCCGGUAAACGGCGGCCGUAACUAUAACGGUCCUAAGGUAGCGAAAUUCCUUGUCGGGUAAGUUCCGACCUGCACGAAUGGCGUAAUGAUGGCCAGGCUGUCUCCACCCGAGACUCAGUGAAAUUGAACUCGCUGUGAAGAUGCAGUGUACCCGCGGCAAGACGGAAAGACCCCGUGAACCUUUACUAUAGCUUGACACUGAACAUUGAGCCUUGAUGUGUAGGAUAGGUGGGAGGCUUUGAAGUGUGGACGCCAGUCUGCAUGGAGCCGACCUUGAAAUUCCACCCUUUAAUGUUUGAUGUUCUAACGUUGACCCGUGAUCCGGGUUGCGGACAGUGUCUGGUGGGUAGUUUGACUGGGGCGGUCUCCUCCUAAAGAGUAACGGAGGAGCACGAAGGUUGGCUAAUCCUGGUCGGACAUCAGGAGGUUAGUGCAAUGGCAUAAGCCAGCUUGACUGCGAGCGUGACGGCGCGAGCAGGUGCGAAAGCAGGUCAUAGUGAUCCGGUGGUUCUGAAUGGAAGGGCCAUCGCUCAACGGAUAAAAGGUACUCCGGGGAUAACAGGCUGAUACCGCCCAAGAGUUCAUAUCGACGGCGGUGUUUGGCACCUCGAUGUCGGCUCAUCACAUCCUGGGGCUGAAGUAGGUCCCAAGGGUAUGGCUGUUCGCCAUUUAAAGUGGUACGCGAGCUGGGUUUAGAACGUCGUGAGACAGUUCGGUCCCUAUCUGCCGUGGGCGCUGGAGAAUUGAGGGGGGCUGCUCCUAGUACGAGAGGACCGGAGUGGACGCAUCACUGGUGUUCGGGUUGUCAUGCCAAUGGCACUGCCCGGUAGCUAAAUGCGGAAGAGAUAAGUGCUGAAAGCAUCUAAGCACGAAACUUGCCCCGAGAUGAGUUCUCCCUGACUCCUUGAGAGUCCUGAAGGAACGUUGAAGACGACGACGUUGAUAGGCCGGGUGUGUAAGCGCAGCGAUGCGUUGAGCUAACCGGUACUAAUGAACCGUGAGGCUUAACCUU